rnacentral:rRNA from 1 species
GAUAAACGCUGGCGGCGUGCCUAACACAUGCAAGUCGAACGCCCUUUUGCGCAAGUGAGAGGGAGUGGCGGACGGGUGAGUACCACGUGGGUACCUACCUUGAGGUGAGGAAUACCACCGAGAAAUCGGUGACAAGACCGCAUACGCUCGGGCAACCGAGCAAAGUCAUGCAAAUGACGCCACAAGAUGAGCCUGCGCCUGAUUAGCUGGUUGGUGAGGAACAGCUCACCAAGGCGACGAUCAGUAGCUGGUCUGAGAGGAUGAUCAGCCACACUGGGAUUGAGAACGGCCCAGACUCCGUACGGGGGC